rnacentral:rRNA from 1 species
CCAUGCAAGUCGACGAUGAAGCCUUUCGGGGUGGAUUAGUGGCGAACGGGUGAGUAACACGUGGGCAAUCUGCCCUUCACUCUGGGACAAGCCCUGGAAACGGGGUCUAAUACCGGAUAACACUCUGUCCCGCAUGGGACGGGGUUAAAAGCUCCGGCGGUGAAGGAUGAGCCCGCGGCCUAUCAGCUUGUUGGUGGGGUAAUGGCCUACCAAGGCGACGACGGGUAGCCGGCCUGAGAGGGCGACCGGCCACACUGGGACUGAGACACGGCCCAGACUCCUACGGGAGGCAGCAGUGGGGAAUAUUGCACAAUGGGCGAAAGCCUGAUGCAGCGACGCCGCGUGAGGGAUGACGGCCUUCGGGUUGUAAACCUCUUUCAGCAGGGAAGAAGCGAAAGUGACGGUACCUGCAGAAGAAGCGCCGGCUAACUACGUGCCAGCAGCCGCGGUAAUACGUAGGGCGCAAGCGUUGUCCGGAAUUAUUGGGCGUAAAGAGCUCGUAGGCGGCUUGUCACGUCGGAUGUGAAAGCCCGGGGCUUAACCCCGGGUCUGCAUUCGAUACGGGCUAGCUAGAGUGUGGUAGGGGAGAUCGGAAUUCCUGGUGUAGCGGUGAAAUGCGCAGAUAUCAGGAGGAACACCGGUGGCGAAGGCGGAUCUCUGGGCCAUUACUGACGCUGAGGAGCGAAAGCGUGGGGAGCGAACAGGAUUAGAUACCCUGGUAGUCCACGCCGUAAACGUUGGGAACUAGGUGUUGGCGACAUUCCACGUCGUCGGUGCCGCAGCUAACGCAUUAAGUUCCCCGCCUGGGGAGUACGGCCGCAAGGCUAAAACUCAAAGGAAUUGACGG